AGAGUUUGAUCAUGGCUCAGGACGAACGCUGGCGGCGCGCUUUAUGCAUGCAAGUCGAACGGACCUUCGGGUCAGUGGCGGACGGCUGAGUAACGCGUAGGCAAUCUGCCCAGUAGUGGGGGAUAACCCACCGAAAGGUGAGCUAAUACCGCAUAAGUUUUCCGGCUGGAAUGCCAGAAAGGAAAGCAGCAAUGCGCUACUGGAGGAGCCUGCGUCCUAUCAGGUAGAUA
rnacentral:rRNA from 1 species